CCUACGGGAGGCAGCAGUGGGGAAUCUUGCACAAUGGACGAAAGUCUGAUGCAGCGACGCCGCGUGGGUGAUGAAGGCCUUCGGGUUGUAAAGCCCUGUGGAAUGAGACGAAAAGGCUACGGUCAAACAGGCCGUGGUUUUGACGGUAUCGUUUUAGCAAGCACCGGCUAACUCUGUGCCAGCAGCCGCGGUAAUACAGAGGGUGCAAACGUUGCUCGGAAUUACUGGGCGUAAAGCGCGAGUAGGUGGCUAUGCCAGUCCGAUGUGAAAGCCCAGGGCUCAACCCUGGAAGUGCAUUGGAUACUACAUAGCUGGAGUCUUGAAGAGGAGAGCGGAAUUCUUGGUGUAGAGGUGAAAUUCGUAGAUAUCAAGAGGAACAUCUGAGGCGAAGGCGGCUCUCUGGGCAAGUACUGACACUGAGACGCGAAAGCGUGGGGAGCAAACAGGAUUAGAUACCCUGGUAGUCCACGCUGUAAACCGAUGAGAACCUGGCCGUCGCGGGUAUAGACCCCUGCGUGGNGAGACACGCGUAGUUACGUCCGCCGUCGGAGGUACGGCCGGCCGACGGACGUAAACCGUAACCGAACGUAGAAGUUAGUACGGACGUUAGGAGACGNGGCCGACGGACGACGACGAGGGGAGGUUAGGAG
rnacentral:rRNA from 1 species